rnacentral:rRNA from 1 species
GAUGAACGCUGGCGGCGUGCCUAAUACAUGCAAGUAGAACGCUGAAGGAGGAGCUUGCUCUUCUGGAUGAGUUGCGAACGGGUGAGUAACGCGUAGGUAACCUGCCUGGUAGCGGGGGAUAACUAUUGGAAACGAUAGCUAAUACCGCAUGACAACAGUUAUUGCAUGAUAACUGUUUAAAAGGGGCAACUGCUCCACUACCAGAUGGACCUGCGUUGUAUUAGCUAGUUGGUGAGGUAACGGCUCACCAAGGCGACGAUACAUAGCCGACCUGAGAGGGUGAUCGGCCACACUGGGACUGAGACACGGCCCAGACUCCUACGGGAGGCAGCAGUAGGGAAUCUUCGGCAAUGGACGGAAGUCUGACCGAGCAACGCCGCGGGAGUGAAGAAGGGUGUCGGAUCGUAAAGCUCUGUUGUAAGAGAAGAACGAGUGUGAGAGUGGAAAGUUCACACUGUGACGGUAUCUUACCAGAAAGGGACGGCUAACUACGUG